rnacentral:rRNA from 1 species
AUGUCCGAGGAUGGUCUAGGCCUUGGUCCUACGCCUCAAGAGCAAGAAACCGUACUUCUUAGUUCGAGUGAGGAUGAAGCAAGAAAAGCGCAACGAAAGAGUGCCAAGAAGCGAAGAGGUCAAGCUCCUUCGAGGUUGAGGUCGGCUGUUUGGACCUUCUUUCAUAAGGUAGAGGUGCCAUCGAAAGAAGGUUUGAUGGAGUUGAAGGCACAAUGUAAUUAUUGUGACAAUCAAUAUGCAUAUGUCCAAGGUGGAAGCACCUCAUCCAUGGGAAGACAUAUGGACACAUGUAAGAAUUAUAAGGACAAGGUUAAUAGGGAUCUCAUCCAAGCUACUCUGUUUUUUAGAAAAACCAAUGCAACAACAAGUGGUCCAGCUAUCCAAUGCAUUGAGUAUGAUAAGGACCUCAUCAAGGAGGUCAUGGCAAAGAUGAUUUGCGUCCAUGAGUACUCAUUUAGAAUGGUUGAACAUAAAUGGUUCAACAUUCUCAUGAAGUGCUUGAAUCCAAACUAUCAACCUAUUGGAAGGAAGGCAAUAAGAGCUGAAUGCAUGAGGGUUUUCAAGAAAGAAAGGGAGUUGCUUCAAGUUGCCCUAAAGGAUGUGGACUUCAUUAGUCUGACAACCGACUUGUGGACUAGCAACCAGACCAUAUCAUAUAUGUGUGUGGUUGCACACUUUAUAGAUAAGGAUUGGAAGAUGCAAACACGUGUUCUUUCUUUCAUAGAUUUGGAUCCUCCUCACUCCGGGCAUGUGAUUUCAGAUGCUAUCUAUGAGUGUGUGACUGAAUGGAAGAUAGAGAAGAAAAUUAUAUCCAUCACACUAGACAAUGCUUCAAACAAUGAUGUUGCGGUCAGAGGUUUGAAGGCAAAGUUUGCUGUUCGGAGAGGUAUAUACUUGCUGUUUUUGUUGUACAUAUGUUCAUAUACUUGCUGUUUUGGUUGA